rnacentral:rRNA from 1 species
CAGUGCCGCGGUAAUACAGAGGGUGCGAGCGUUAAUCGGAUUUACUGGGCGUAAAGCGUGCGUAGGCGGCUUCUUAAGUCGGAUGUGAAAUCCCUGAGCUUAACUUAGGAAUUGCAUUCGAUACUGGGAAGCUAGAGUAUGGGAGAGGAUGGUAGAAUUCCAGGUGUAGCGGUGAAAUGCGUAGAGAUCUGGAGGAAUACCGAUGGCGAAGGCAGCCAUCUGGCCUAAUACUGACGCUGAGGUACGAAAGCAUGGGGAGCAAACAGGAUUAGAUACCCCUGUAGUCCCUGUCUCUUAUACA